UACGGGAGGCAGCAGUGGGGAAUAUUGCACAAUGGGCGAAAGCCUGAUGCAGCUAUGCCGCGUGUAUGAAGAAGGCCUUAGGGUUGUAAAGUACUUUCAUCGGGGAGGAAAAAACAAAACUAAUAAUUUUAUUUCUUGACGUUACCCGAAAAAGAAGCACCGGCUAACUCCGUGCCAGCAGCCGCGGUAAUACGGAGGGUGCUAGCGUUAAUCAGAAUUACUGGGCGUAAAGAGCACGUAGGUGGUUUUUUUAAGUCAGAUGUGAAAUCCCUGGGCUUAACCUGGAACUGCAUUUUGAAACUGAAAUACUAGAGUAUCGUAGAGGGAGGUAGAAUUCUAGGUGUAGCGGUUGAAAUGCGUAGAUAUCUGGAGGAAUACCUGUGGCGAAAGCGGCCUCCUAAACGAAUACUGACACUGAGGUGCGAAAGCGUGGGGAGCAAACAGGGAUUAGAUACCCGU
rnacentral:rRNA from 1 species